rnacentral:lncRNA from 1 species
CUUCUCCGGGUGCUCCGUUCAAAUGGAUCGGGUAAUUGGGUCGCCCAUGGGUUUUCUGCCUUGGAAUUAAUUGCCGUACCAGCUUCUUUCCAUUUCCGGCUCUCACAACUGCAUUGAAAGGAGCUGACAGGCGACUUUGCUCAAGAAUGGCAAUUGGCGUGCUUCAUCAUGGCUGUGUCUUCCGAUGUUGUCCGAAUUCCAACACGGUCUGGUUGUGGCCUUUUUGUCCUAGGGUUUUCUCAUCUGAUUUCUCAUUUCCAUUCUCGCAGAUUUGUUGUGCCCUUCAACCCGUUCCCCUUGCCGACUUCUCUGGCCAGCUUGAGCUUGGUUACAUCUUCUUCGUUUGUUUUAGUCUCGGCCUCGCGGUGCUUCUCUUACUGGUUCAUCUGAAUCGUAAUCGUAGUUCCUCUUCGUUUUUUUCCCGUAUGGUUUUUUUCCCAUCUUUUUUCGUUGCAAUUUGUUGUUGGCCAUGGUGUUUGUUUUAAUCCUUGUCCUGCUUUUGCUGCUAUUUCACUGUUAUAUCUCGCUCUUAUUCUUGCUGCUCAUUGUUCUUUGCUUAUAUAUGUCAGGAAAUUUUUUCCUCCCUGAAUGUUGUGCCUCUGAGCUUAUUUCCCCUUGGUAUCUUUUUCCCCUGUGGCUUUCGAUGCUGUUUACCAUGGGUUUUUUUUUCGUUUUCCCAUUAGCCUUUUUGUUCUGUUCAUUCCUUUACGUAAUAUGUAUGUGUUCUUUUGAAGUAAUGUUGUUGUUCAGAAAUUUUGAACGUGCAAGUGGUUUCCGUUUGAUUUAUUUUGUUAUUCUCGUUUGCCCUUUUUUCCUUGUGCGCUCCUUUUCGUUAUAUGCAUGUUUUCUGGUUCUUACAUUUUUUUCCCCCUUUUAUUGCCGCUGUUGGUUACUAAUAAAUUUCUUGCCUGGUGGAGAUAGGCUGAUAUGCGUAUUUGCCCACGAUGAUUUUUUUAUAAAUGGGUCAAUGUUUUCUGCCUUGACUGCUAUUUAUUUUUCUUGGUGCAUUUCCUUGUUGUUUCCCUCCAAGGCAUUUGCUGUGUUUUAGAUCUGCUCUUCUGCUUUGAGUUGAGAUAGUUUUGGGUCCUUUCUGGCCCUCUCUAGAUCUACUGUUUUGCUCUCCGGAAGGGUGCAAUCUUGCUCUUUUCCUCUGUAGGCUAGAGUUGUUAUGUUUCUUUAAAUGACUUUUUCUUGUGCUUCUACCGUGCUUGCGAACCUUAUUCUUGCCUUAUGCCUCAGUGGUUUUGAUAACUGAUCUAGAAAGAUCUGCUACUCUUUACCUGUUAUUGGACUAAUUUCAAAUAGACAUGAUGAGAAUUGUUUUGUAUGCUUUGCCGGCAAGGAAACCGUACUCAGAUGCUCGCUCUGUUAUUGCCAGAGAAUAUGUUGUUGUCGACCAAAGGUUGUAUUCAAUAUCAAUUUCUGAUGGCUAUUUCUUUCGUACCUAUAGUGAUUUGUUUUUAUAUAUGUUCUUUUGCAGUAAUAUGCCUGUUCAUUUGACAUUGUUUGGUGAGUUUGAGUCUGAAGAGGGAAGAGCUAUAGUAGGCUACACAGCUUGAAUAGUGGUUGUCAUUUCCUCCUGGUUGUAAUUUGAAAAAAGAUUUCUCUUUUUCCUUUUUAGCUAACGUCCACCGUGGCUUUUAAAAUCAAUUAUUAUUACUAAUUUCUCAUCUGUCUCCAUGCAGGUACCGACAUAAUUGUUCUGAUCCAAUUGCUUUUGUUCUGGAGAAGAGAUACUGCAAUCCCCUUCUGUUUCUUCCUCCUGUUGGUGACACCAUGCUGUCUACUGUUGUCGGUGUUCACACAACAACUCAAUUUAUUAGGCGCCUUGUCCUUUCUAUGUUGCUUUCUGUGAUUUCCCUUAUUUGCCUAAACUAGCUUCUUUUUGAAACUUCUGAAUAUGCUUAUACUGUUCUUUGAGGCUAUAGGUGCUGCAUGGAUUAAGGGAAGAGUAACGGUUGAUCGAUUGCACAAACUUUGGCAUUUGGCCUGUCUAUAUUGCUGUGCACCUAACACUUUCAUUGAAACUCUAGGAAUUUCUUGUGUUGACUGUCAUAAGGAUCUUUAUGUCUUUCCUAGGUGUGUUAGUGGUACUUAUUGGUGAAAUUUUGCUGCUGUUCGCUUAUAGUCAAUGAAUGUUUUUCCAACUAAGGCUUCUUCUUUGACAGUAAUUAAUAUAUCUACUCUCAAAGCGCGUGUUAAGUUGGCUAUUACUGAUGCUACUGAUUCGAUCAAUAUCAUUGUUUUGGGUAACGAAGCUGAUAGGAUUCACUGCUUACCAGCUUAGUCAAGCUGAACAUGAG